rnacentral:rRNA from 1 species
UGGGGAAUAUUGCACAAUGGGCGCAAGCCUGAUGCAGCCAUGCCGCGUGUGUGAAGAAGGCCUUCGGGUUGUAAAGCACUUUCAGCGGGGAGGAAGGCGAUAAGGUUAAUAACCUUGUCGAGUGACGUUACCCGCAGAAGAAGCACCGGCUAACUCCGUGCCAGCAGCCGCGGUAAUACGGAGGGUGCAAGCGUUAAUCGGAAUUACUGGGCGUAAAGCGCACGCAGGCGGUCUGUCAAGUCGGAUGUGAAAUCCCCGGGCUUAACCUGGGAACUGCAUUCGAAACUGGCAGGCUAGAGUCUUGUAGAGGGGGGUAGAAUUCCAGGUGUAGCGGUGAAAUGCGUAGAGAUCUGGAGGAAUACCGGUGGCGAAGGCGGCCCCCUGGACAAAGACUGACGCUCAGGUGCGAAAGCGUGGGGAGCAAACAGG